rnacentral:lncRNA from 1 species
AUGCCAUUUAUUUAUAUUAACAUUAUAUUAGCAUAUACCAUAGCACUGCUGGGAGUACUAAUCUAUCGAUCCCACCUAAUACCAUCUCUAUUAUGCCUAGAAGGCAUCAUACUAUCAAUAUUUAUCAUAAAUACACUCAUAAUUUUAAACAUGCAUUUCACUCUAGGAUUCAUAAUACCCAUUAUCCUCUUAGUAUUUGCUGCCUGCAAAGCCGCAGUAGGCCUUGCUUUCCUAGUCUCAAUCUCCAACGCAUAAGGCCUAGACUAUGUACAAAAUCUAAAUUUACUCCAAUGC